rnacentral:misc_RNA from 1 species
AUCGUAGUUCGUCUCUAAGAAGUACACAAGGUGGGGGGGGGGAGCUGGAGCACUAGAAUCCAUGUCGUUUCUGGCCAGCCUGCAAGAGUGGCUCAGCAGCGUCGAGGAUGAGUUCUGGACAGCGCACAAUGAGGUGAUGGAGGCCACCGGCGCUCGAGCCUUUAUCGAUGCCGCCGCGGCGUCCUCGCUCAGCAUUGGCUCCCUUGCGGAGGGAUUCCUGCGGGAGAUAUACAACUUCUACACGGCAGUGAACUGGUCAGAGCCCUUUUUUCGCUACCUAGGUGUCUUUCACGCUGUUGUGUGGGUGGCCGCCAUCACCGCCACAUGGGGCGCUGUCUCUGACGAGCGCAUCAUGGUCGUAUGUGCGGUACUGGGUGUGCUGGUGCUGUCUGGCAUACCGGCAAACUCCUACGCCGGCCGACACGCCGAGCGGCUCUUUCAGGAACCUGGUGUAAACUACUUCACAGAGGACGGAACCAUGAUGAUGGUGGUCUACCUGUUGCCUCUGCUCGUGUUGUUGGUGUACUUACAGUUGCGCCAGGGCUACCGCGUCGUGUCGCUGAUGGUGCAGUUAAAGCGUGCCCAGCUGCGCCGCCGAAUGCGGCAAGAAGCGCGGCGCGAGAGCUGCGGCGGCGCUCACGGCGAGGAGGCCGCUGGCGACAGCAAGAAGAUGCAGUAGACAAGCAGCCGCUAGUGAUCGAGCAGGGGAAGCACGUUGUGUGUCUGAAGUCGAUUUUGCUUCUGUGCACACGCGUGUGCGUGUGUGUGUGUGUAUCUGCAGUGCAGGCGUAGACUGGCUGAAGUGAACAAAAGCUAAGCUGCGACAUGGCCAACGCACCGUGCGCUCCCGUAAAUGCGUGCGAUCGCUGAUGACGUGCAUGACUGGAGAAACG